rnacentral:lncRNA from 1 species
GCUAGCUCUCAGAUUUGUUUCAUUAAAGGAUAUUUGUCUAAUAACCUACAGGAUCCUUCCUAAUUUAUUGAAAAUCCUUUUGAGAUGGAGAUGGAAACGGAAUUUGAGGAUCAGGUUUCACCCUUGGUGCUAAAGAUCUGAGAUGUGAAGUUAGACCAGGCCAACAGUUCGAGGUUCCUGAGCUCUGUCUGACGGAAGUGGAAUAUUCCUCAUCCUACGCACAAACUUCCUGGUUGUACAGCAAGUUGAGUAGCCCUGAUCUGAAAUGCGUGUCACCAGAAGAGUUUUAGAUUUCAGAUUUUUUUCAGACUUUCGUACAUUUGCACAGACAUUUAGAG